AUACUAACGUACAGAUGCCUCACGUCAUACAACGAAACCGUGCCGUUCUAACUCGGGCAAUUCUUCGGGCUAUUUUUAGUUCUAAUAAAUGACCACUAGAUGCCGCUAAAACGCCCUUUUUUUAGCGGCAUCUAGUGGUCAUUUAUUGAUGGGAUCGAACGAAUCGAGCGACAUCUAGUGAAAUUUCAGCUUACUGAGUGCAAGUUAUUGCAAGCACAAUAUAUUUACUUAGAGUUAGAGUAAAAUUAAGAUAAUAGAUGGCGCAAACGGAUUUUUUUUCUCAACGUUGACAUGUUAGUAUUAUAAUCUGUGACAAUGAUCUGUGACAUUGUCAAGGUGACAGUUGUUAGUUGACAUACGAUUAUAUCUGAUGUUUGGUGGGCAAAGAAUACAAGGUCUUUCUUUGUUUGGUGGGGUUUAUUGAUUACGUCUUCAUUUUGUAUUGGCAAAAAUAUAUCUCCAACUCCUAUCUCUAAAGACGAUGAUAACCAUUGUGAAGAAUGACAUGCAAAGGCUAUUAGAACCACAUAUCAACAAUUUUCUGACCAUGACCAAGUGAUGAAUAUGAUACAAGUCUACCUCAUGAAAGCCACACUACUUUUCAAAGAAAAAUAUUUUCUUUAGAGUUGUAGGUAUUAUAGUGAAAACUUAAUCUUGACUUCUGUUCUGCAUAAAUGAGAAUCGCACUAUGCCAGGUAACAUAAUGUAGCGAGUACCCUGGUUGAGUCAAGGUAAUAUAAAAUAAGUGGAAAGAUAAUGUGGCCCAAGUAGUAAAGGAAAGGAUGUGCAAACAGCCGAAUGUGAAUCUGGCAAUAAUGUGCCUGUUUAAAUGAGUUUUAGUUGAGUACCAAAUAGUUACCUAGGUUUUCCUGGGAAAAACACUGAUCCAGCUUUUCUGAUUCAACUGAGUUUGUGUA
rnacentral:lncRNA from 1 species